rnacentral:rRNA from 1 species
GGCGAACGGGUGAGUAACACGUGAGUAAUCUGCCCUUCACUCUGGGAUAGCCACCGGAAACGGUGAUUAAUACCGGAUACGACCACCGUGGGCAUCCACUGGUGGUGGAAACUUUUUGGGUGGGGGAUGUGCUCGCGGCCUAUCAGCUUGUUGGUGGGGUAAUGGCCUACCAAGGCUUCGACGGGUAGCCGGCCUGAGAGGGUGACCGGCCACACUGGGACUGAGACACGGCCCAGACUCCUACGGGAGGCAGCAGUGGGGAAUAUUGGACAAUGGGCGGAAGCCUGAUCCAGCAACGCCGCGUGAGGGAUGACGGCCUUCGGGUUGUAAACCUCUUUCAGCACCGACGAAGCGCAAGUGACGGUAGGUGCAGAAGAAGGACCGGCCAACUACGUGCCAGCAGCCGCGGUAAUACGUAGGGUCCGAGCGUUGUCCGGAAUUAUUGGGCGUAAAGGGCUCGUAGGCGGUUUGUCGCGUCGGGAGUGAAAACACCGGGCUUAACUCGGUGCUUGCUUUCGAUACGGGCAGACUUGAGGUAUGCAGGGGAGAACGGAAUUCCUGGUGUAGCGGUGAAAUGCGCAGAUAUCAGGAGGAACACCGGUGGCGAAGGCGGUUCUCUGGGCAUUACCUGACGCUGAGGAGCGAAAGUGUGGGGAGCGAACAGGAUUAGAUACCCUGGUA